AUCCAGCUGACGAGUCUUAAAUAGGACGAAACGCGCGUCCUGGAU
rfam:Schistosoma mansoni strain Puerto Rico chromosome 2, complete genome